rnacentral:rRNA from 1 species
UACGUAGGUGGCAAGCGUUGUCCGGAUUUAUUGGGUUUAAAGGGUGCGUAGGCGGCUUUAUAAGUCAGUGCUGAAAUAUCCCGGCUUAACCGGGAGGGUGGCAUUGAUACUGCAGAGCUUGAGUGAAGUCGAGGUAGGCGGAAUUGACGGUGUAGCGGUGAAAUGCUUAGAUAUCGUCAAGAACACCGAUAGUGAAGACAGCUUACUAGACUUCAACUGACGCUGAGGCACGAAAGUGUGGGGAUCAAACAGG